rnacentral:rRNA from 1 species
CCCUUAGAUGUUCUGGGCCGCACGCGCGCUACAAUGGUCUUCGCAAACGGAUGCAUUCUCGAAGGAGAAUGCCAAUCUUGGAAUCUAUGCCUUGGUCGGGACAGUUGCUUGCAAUUUUUCGACCCGAACCAGGAAUUCCUUGUAAUCGUGAUUCAUCACAUCACGAUGAAUACGUCCCUGCCCUUUGUACACACCGCCCGUCGCUCCUACCGAUCGAAGAGUUAGGUGAAUUGUUUUGAUCGAUAAGAUUUGACUAUGGUCAACUCUCGUUGUGAAAUUCUGUGAAUCUGACUGUUUAGAGGAAGGAAAAGUCGUAACA